rnacentral:rRNA from 1 species
CGAACGGUAACAGGGAGCUUGCUCCGCUGACGAGUGGCGAACGGGUGAGUAAUAUAUCGGAACGUACCAUUCAGUGGGGGAUAACGUAGCGAAAGUUACGCUAAUACCGCAUAUUCUGUGAGCAGGAAAGCAGGGGAUCGCAAGACCUUGCGCUGAUUGAGCGGCCGAUAUCAGAUUAGCUUGUUGGUGAGGUAAAAGCUCACCAAGGCGACGAUCUGUAGCGGGUCUGAGAGGAUGAUCCGCCACACUGGAACUGAGACACGGUCCAGACUCCUACGGGAGGCAGCAGUGGGGAAUUUUGGACAAUGGGGGCAACCCUGAUCCAGCCAUGCCGCGUGAGUGAAGAAGGCCUUCGGGUUGUAAAGCUCUUUCAGCCGGGAAGAAAACGCAAGGGUUAAUACCCUGUGUGGAUGACGGUACCGGAAUAAGAAGCACCGGCUAACUACGUGCCAGCAGCCGCGGUAAUACGUAGGGUGCGAGCGUUAAUCGGAAUUACUGGGCGUAAAGCGUGCGCAGGCGGUUUUGUAAGACAGGCGUGAAAUCCCCGGGCUUAACCUGGGAACUGCGUUUGUGACUGCAAGGCUAGAGUACGGCAGAGGGGGGUGGAAUUCCACGUGUAGCAGUGAAAUGCGUAGAGAUGUGGAGGAACACCAAUGGCGAAGGCAGCCCCCUGGGUCGAUACUGACGCUCAUGCACGAAAGCGUGGGUAGCAAACAGGAUUAGAUACCCUGCUAGUCCACGCCCUAAACGAUGUCAACUAGGUGUUGGGAGGGUAAAACCUUUAGUACCGGAGCUAACGCGUGAAGUUGACCGCCUGGGGAGUACGGCCGCAAGGUUAAAACUCAAAGGAAUUGACGGGGACCCGCACAAGCGGUGGAUGAUGUGGAUCAAUUCGAUGCAACGCGAAAAACCUUACCUACCCUUGACAUGCCAAGAACUUUCCAGAGAUGGAUUGGUGCCCGAAAGGGAACUUGGACACAGGUGCUGCAUGGCUGUCGUCAGCUCGUGUCGUGAGAUGUUGGGUUAAGUCCCGCAACGAGCGCAACCCUUGUCGUUAAUUGCCAUCAUUUAGUUGGGCACUUUAACGAGACUGCCGGUGACAAACCGGAGGAAGGUGGGGAUGACGUCAAGUCCUCAUGGCCCUUAUGGGUAGGGCUUCACACGUCAUACAAUGGUCGGUACAAAGGGUCGCCAAGCCGCGAGGUGGAGCCAAUCCCAGAAAGCCGAUCGUAGUCCGGAUCGCAGUCUGCAACUCGACUGCGUGAAGUCGGAAUCGCUAGUAAUCGUGGAUCAGAAUGUCACGGUGAAUACGUUCCCGGGUCUUGUACACACCGCCCGUCACACCAUGGGAGCGGGUUCCGCCAGAAGUAGGUAGCCUAACCGCAAGGAGGGCGCUUACCACGGCGGGGUUCGUGACU